UGCUAGUUGUACGAGCUCAUACUCGUAGCAAAUAGCUCCGUAACACGUGGCCAAACAACCCUACAGAGAACGAUACCCUCGGGAAACUGAGGCUAAUAGUUCAUACCCGUCCACAGCUGGAAUGCUUGGACGCGCAAACGCUCCGGCGCUGUAGGACGUGGCUGCGGCCGAUUAGGUAGACGGUGGGGUAACGGCCCACCGUGCCGAUAAUCGGUACGGGUUGUGAGAGCAAGAACCCGGAGACGGAAUCUGAGACAAGAUUCCGGGCCCUACGGGGCGCAGCAGGCGCGAAACCUUUACACUGCACGCAAGUGCGAUAAGGGGACCCCAAGUGCGAGGGCAUAUAGUCCUCGCUUUUCACGACUGUAAGGCGGUCGUGGAAUAAGAGCUGGGCAAGACCGGUGCCAGCCGCCGCGGUAAUACCGGCAGCUCAAGUGAUGACCGAUAUUAUUGGGCCUAAAGCGUCCGUAGCCGGCCACGAAGGUUCAUCGGGAAAUCCGCCAGCUCAACUGGCGGGCGUCCGGUGAAAACCACGUGGCUUGGGACCGGAAGGCUCGAGGGGUACGUCCGGG
rnacentral:rRNA from 1 species